CCUACGGGAGGCAGCAGUGAGGAAUAUUGGUCAAUGGACGAGAGUCUGAACCAGCCAAGUAGCGUGAAGGAUGACUGCCCUAUGGGUUGUAAACUUCUUUUAUAUGGGAAUAAAACGUUCCACGUGUGGGAUUUUGUAUGUACCAUAUGAAUAAGGAUCGGCUAACUCCGUGCCAGCAGCCGCGGUAAUACGAAGGAUCCGAGCGUUAUCCGGAUUUAUUGGGUUUAAAGGGAGCGUAGGUGGAUUGUUAAGUCAGUUGUGAAAGUUUGCAGCUCAACCGUAAAAUUGCAGUUGAAACUGGCAGUCUUGAGUACAGUAGAGGUGGGCGGAAUUCGUGGUGUAGCGGUGAAAUGCUUAGAUAUCACGAAGAACUCCGAUUGCGAAGGCAGUUCACUGGACUGCAACUGACACUGAGGCUCGAAAGUGUGGGUAUCAAACAGGAUUAGAUACCCCGGUAGUC
rnacentral:rRNA from 1 species